rnacentral:rRNA from 1 species
UCUUGGUCAUUUAGAGGAAGUAAAAGUCGUAACAAGGUUUCCGUAGGUGAACCUGCGGAAGGAUCAUUAAAAAUUACAAACAAACCGUUCCGGGCAGGUGCACCUCCCCCCAAGGAGUCAGCCGAUGCCCGGUGUCGGUCACCUGCUGCGUAAGCGGUCAGCGUGAAACACACUGUGAAACCUGCCGUUGCUUCGGCAGCUCUCCCUCCACUCGCUGGGUGGGAGGUCAGCCUGCCGCCAGCCCUGAGCAAAAUACUUUUUCUUUACUGAACCACAAGCUUUUUACUAGCCGUCUGAACGGAUAAGUCUAAUGACACAUAAAACUUUCAACAACGGAUCUCUUGGUUCUCGCAUCGAUGAAGAACGCAGCGAAACGCGAUAGGUAAUGUGAAUUGCAGAAUUCAGUGAAUCAUCGAAUCUUUGAACGCACAUUGCGCCUUCUGGUAUUCCGGGAGGCACGUCUGUUUGAGCGUCAGCAAAAACCCAAUCGGUACAGGUUUGUCAAAGAACCUAACCGGACCUGGGGUCGGGCACGGGUGCGCAUUGCGCUCCCUCCCCCGCCCUGAAUUUGGCAGAAGCUAGCGGGCCGGUACCCCAAGACCACGACGUAGUAAUGUAACAGUUAAACCGUCGCCUGUCUGUCGUGGGGAUGCGCGCCUUUGCCUUGCUUUUUUGCAACCAACGGGAGGAACCGCUCUCUCACGAGGGCGGCUCCGACCUUCUGACGUUUGACCUCAAAUCAGAUGAGGAUACCCGCUGAACUUAAGCAUAUCAAUAAGCGGAGGAAAAGAAACCAACAGGGAUUGCCUUAGUAACGGCGAGUGAAGCGGCAAGAGCUCAGAUUUGAAAUCCGUCACGCUUGCGGGCCGGAGUUGUAAUCUGGAGAGAGGCUUUCGGUGGCCGCGCCGGUCCAAGUUCCUUGGAACAGGACGUCUUAGAGGGUGAGAAUCCCGUCUUUGGCCGGUGGCGUGUUACCAUGUGAAACCUCUUCGACGAGUCGAGUUGUUUGGGAAUGCAGCUCAAAAUGGGUGGUAAAUUCCAUCUAAAGCUAAAUACCGGCGAGAGACCGAUAGCGCACAAGUAGAGUGAUCGAAAGAUGAAAAGCACUUUGAAAAGAGAGUUAAAAAGUACGUGAAAUUGUUGAAAGGGAAGCGCUUGCCAUCAGAACUGGUUCCGGCCGAUCAACGUUCGUUCUCGUUCGUGCACUCGGCCGGUGUCCAUGCCAGCACCGGUUGCGGCGGCGGGAAAAAGGCGACGGGAACGUGGCUCCCCUCGGGGAGUGUUAUAGCCCGACGUGCAAUGCCGCCAGCUGCGACCGAGGACCGCGCCUUCGGGCUAGGGUGCUGGCUUAAUGGUUGUAAGCGACCCGUCUUGAAACACGGACCAAGGAGUCUAACAUCUACGCGAGUGUUUGGGUGGAAAACCCAUGCGCGAAAUGAAAGUGAACGGAGGUGAGAUCCUCGCAAGGGGCGCAUCAUCGACCGAUCCUGAUGUCUUCGGAUGGAUUUGAGUAGGAGCGUAGCUGUUGGGACCCGAAAGAUGGUGAACUAUGCCUGAAUAGGGUGAAGCCAAAGGAAACUUUGGUGGAGGCUCGCAGCGGUUCUGACGUGCAAAUCGAUCGUCAAAUUUGGGUAUAGGGGCGAAAGACUAAUCG